rnacentral:rRNA from 1 species
UGGUGGGUAGUUUGACUGGGGCGGUCUCCUCCUAAAGAGUAACGGAGGAGCACGAAGGUUGGCUAAUCCUGGUCGGACAUCAGGAGGUUAGUGCAAUGGCAUAAGCCAGCUUGACUGCGAGCGUGACGGCGCGAGCAGGUGCGAAAGCAGGUCAUAGUGAUCCGGUGGUUCUGAAUGGAAGGGCCAUCGCUCAACGGAUAAAAGGUACUCCGGGGAUAACAGGCUGAUACCGCCCAAGAGUUCAUAUCGACGGCGGUGUUUGGCACCUCGAUGUCGGCUCAUCACAUCCUGGGGCUGAAGUAGGUCCCAAGGGUAUGGCUGUUCGCCAUUUAAAGUGGUACGCGAGCUGGGUUUAGAACGUCGUGAGACAGUUCGGUCCCUAUCUGCCGUGGGCGCUGGAGAACUGAGGGGGGCUGCUCCUAGUACGAGAGGACCGGAGUGGACGCAUCACUGGUGUUCGGGUUGUCAUGCCAAUGGCACUGCUCGGUAGCUAAAUGCGGAAGAGAUAAGUGCUGAAAGCAUCUAAGCACGAAACUUGCCCCGAGAUGAGUUCUCCCUGAGACUUAGAGUCUCCUGAAGGAACGUUGAAGACGACGACGUUGAUAGGCCGGGUGUGUAAGCGCAGCGAUGCGUUGAGCUAACCGGUACUAAUGAACCGUGAGGCUUAACCUUACAACGCCGAAG